rnacentral:rRNA from 1 species
AUGGACGGCGCGACGACCUUCUUCGCUUGGUGGGCGCUUGCGUCCGCCACCUCGCCGAGCGGACUCCGUAAAGGGCUCAACUCCAUCGUCGCUCUAACCGCUUGGGCCAUCUGGAAGCAUCGCAACGCCGCCAUCUUCGACGGCUUACAACCCUCCACUGAUGGUCUGGUGGUCUCCAUCAAGGAUGACGCUCGCCUAUGGGCUAAGGCCGGCGCCAAGGGACUAGCCUCUAUUAUUCCUGUAACCUGA